rnacentral:rRNA from 1 species
GACGAACGCUGGCGGCGUGCCUAAUACAUGCAAGUAGAACGCUGAAGGAGGAGCUUGCUUCUCUGGAUGAGUUGCGAACGGGUGAGUAACGCGUAGGUAACCUGCCUGGUAGCGGGGGAUAACUAUUGGAAACGAUAGCUAAUACCGCAUAAUAGUAGGUGUUGCAUGACAUUUGCUUAAAAGGUGCAAUUGCAUCACUACCAGAUGGACCUGCGUUGUAUUAGCUAGUUGGUGGGGUAACGGCUCACCAAGGCGACGAUACAUAGCCGACCUGAGAGGGUGAUCGGCCACACUGGGACUGAGACACGGCCCAGACUCCUACGGGAGGCAGCAGUAGGGAAUCUUCGGCAAUGGACGGAAGUCUGACCGAGCAACGCCGCGUGAGUGAAGAAGGUUUUCGGAUCGUAAAGCUCUGUUGUAAGAGAAGAACGAGUGUGAGAGUGGAAAGUUCACACUGUGACGGUAUCUUACCAGAAAGGGACGGCUAACUACGUG